UGAACCUCCUUCGGGAGGGGAUUAGUGGCGAACGGGUGAGUAACACGUGGGCAAUCUGCCCUGCACUCUGGGACAAGCCCUGGAAACGGGGUCUAAUACCGGAUACUGAUCAUCUUGGGCAUCCUUGGUGAUCGAAAGCUCCGGCGGUGCAGGAUGAGCCCGCGGCCUAUCAGCUUGUUGGUGAGGUAAUGGCUCACCAAGGCGACGACGGGUAGCCGGCCUGAGAGGGCGACCGGCCACACUGGGACUGAGACACGGCCCAGACUCCUACGGGAGGCAGCAGUGGGGAAUAUUGCACAAUGGGCGAAAGCCUGAUGCAGCGACGCCGCGUGAGGGAUGACGGCCUUCGGGUUGUAAACCUCUUUCAGCAGGGAAGAAGCGAAAGUGACGGUACCUGCAGAAGAAGCGCCGGCUAACUACGUGCCAGCAGCCGCGGUAAUACGUAGGGCGCGAGCGUUGUCCGGAAUUAUUGGGCGUAAAGAGCUCGUAGGCGGCUUGUCGCGUCGGUUGUGAAAGCCCGGGGCUUAACCCCGGGUCUGCAGUCGAUACGGGCAGGCUAGAGUUCGGUAGGGGAGAUCGGAAUUCCUGGUGUAGCGGUGAAAUGCGCAGAUAUCAGGAGGAACACCGGUGGCGAAGGCGGAUCUCUGGGCCGAUACUGACGCUGAGGAGCGAAAGCGUGGGGAGCGAACAGGAUUAGAUACCUGGUAGU
rnacentral:rRNA from 1 species